GGCGCGACCCCGUCGAUGUGGAUAGGGCCCUUCCUCCCAGCGACCGUAUGUGGCGGCCGGGGACAGUGCUGCUGGUCUGCGCUGAAAGCCUUGGACACACCGGGCUACAUCUUGCAGGCUCGUAGAAAAAUGGGAACCAAAGAACCUUGUAUGUGUUGCCUUCAUUAGUCUGAAAUCUACUUUCAAUCCCAAGGACAGAUGUGAAUGAAGCAAAGAAAUAUGCUGCAGAUGUGAACUUGAAUGAAAUUACUCCGCUGUCUAUAAUCAGUGAUACUGCAAGAAUUAACCAACUAAACAAGAAUUUACAAAUAAAACCUAAGAAGUCUGGUGAAGCCUGGGAACUUGGAGGAGAAAUGGGAUCAUACAGGAUGCGGCCUUUCAUUCCAUCUGCUUUCAGCUCUAUUCAAACUGCCAAGACAUGACGAUGUAUACAGCGCCCUGACCCACUCUACUAAGCUGUGGCUAUGCGGAAGGUAAAAAUUCUGACCUCUAUCCAGUCUGGCAUCAUGAGAAACACUCUAUUCCACUCCCAAUAAAGGUGAAGUUGCAGUUGCCAUAUUAAAAUAAUAAUAAUGUUAAUAAUUCUAUAGUAAUCCCUGCAGCAAGAAAGGGCUCAGUCUGAUAUGGAAGGUUUAUGCUGCCUUUUUCAUAUGUUCAGAAGACUAAAGAAUUAACACUAAAGAAUUGGGAAUAAAGAUAUGAUAUUUGGGCACUUCCCCCUUGUCAGUUUUGCUACAUAUUCUAUUCUCGUUCUUUGAGAGGGCAGAAUAAUACCUGCACAGUGCUUCUAUAACCCAAUAUACUGAUAUCCAAAGCUUAAGAAGGCCACACUGUUCGUAGGAACUCCUUACAUGUCCUUCUGUCUCUGCCGGGUACAAUGGCCUGUGAGACUCCUGAAAUGCAACAUCCAUAGAAAACCAUACAUAAGAGAAUACAUUUUGUUAUGUUGCAAAGAAUAAAACAGCAUCAAAUCAAAAUUUUCUUAUUUUCUAAAUAUCAUUAGAAAUUGUUAGUCUACAAUCUUCAUUACAUACAGGUUGACAAAUUGCUCUAAUGGUAUUAGGAAUGGAAUUCUCAGACUGAGUUAGGCAAUUUUUCUAUGAACUCUGAGUUGUGAAAGCCAUCUGCAGGAGUAUUAAAAAAACAAUUAAAAAAUCCUUAAUCCUUAGUGUUUUAAAACUGAAGUGAUCUCUCUAAAAUAAAUAAAGCAAAAUAGUAGCUUCUAGAAAGUCUAAAAAUUAUACAAAACUCGAUUUACAAACGUUUAAUCUGCAAGGGCAGAACUUAAAUACUGUAGAAGAUUACCUGAAAGUAGGAUCAGAUUAUAGAGAGCAUAGACUUUGCUAUUUUAAAGCCUUCGAUGGGAAAAUCUCAUAGUAUUUUUGCUUUACUUCUGUCAUUGUAGAGAAUGGGUCCUUGUGUCUCUCCCAGGACGGAUUUUACUCUCCUCUUCUAUUAUAGUAACUAAAACUUGAAUCAGUGAAGCUGUGAAAUAGGAAAAAGAAUUAGAAGCUAAGAAAAGUAAAAAGUUUGAAGGCAACUGAAAAUUGACAAAUAAGUGUCAGAGCAGAAAACGAUGGCAGUUUGCCAACCAGCUGGGAAAACUAAUUCAGCUUUAGAUAAAGAGAUUUUAAAGGGGAAAAGGACAAGUAAACUUCAGAAAAAGGAAGAAUAAAGGAGCAAAGAAUAAAUCCUUAGAGCUGUGUUAAAGAAGAAACAUAGGCAGUGCUUUGUUGUUUUAACUGCAGAACUGCAAGAGGGGCUUUUCAUUCAGUGUUUGAAUAGCACUGAAGAAAUAGCCAUCAAAAGAGAAAAAAGUGGAAGCACUAGGAUUUUCCUUGUUGCUGUAGCUUGUAGACCAUCCCUCAAAAAAAGAUUUAAAGUUUAAUUUUUUCUAGACAAAUAGAAAUUGUUAACGGUAAUAACUAUUUUCUUCACCAACCUAUAUAUUGACACAAAAAUACAGAGUUCCCUAUACAAAUUCAUGACAAGAAGUGGCUGAGAUAGACAAAUAAACAACUGACAAAGAAAAUGAAAUAACUGAAAAUUUCAAGGAAAGCCACCUUAACCCAGAAAAUAAAAGUAUUUUCGUGAACCAAUAUGUGAUCCUCAAGAUUACAGUCUUUUUUUUUCCCCAGUGGAUUCAUCGUAUUUGUUUUUUCAUGGUCAGAGAGCACGUACAAGUAUGUUGCGAUGAGUACCGUCUCGUCACAACAGCAGACCAAAAUAGAAAGCUGGUAUAUAAAAUAGCAUGAAAGAAGGUGGUCACAGGUCUGUUUGUCCUCUCACCCUCAUCUGUCACCAGGCCUUUUAAUCAGGCUGUGAAUAGCAAGUCAGCAAGAUAUAAUGCUGCUGGUUAUUAUGCAGAGAUCUAAUGACUGCACCUACUCUGCCCAAUUAUAGCAUUUUCAGAAGUGCCCUUGAGAUGACAUCUCCUGACCAUUCAGAUUAUAUAGCGCUUCAUGCACCCCUCUGGGUGCCCUGAAAACACCACCUCUGAGCUCACAAGAGGAUUCCUUGAGAGUGCCAGGCUCUCAGAGUGACCCCACAUAUGCACUUUGUACGAACUGUAUCCUUUCACCUCCAUUAGGCACAGGUUCAGUCUGCUGCAUGAAAUUCCCAGAGCAGCAUGGCAUGACUGACCAGCUUCAUGUUGCACUUCAGAGCAUCACCCUCUAUGUGAGAUAGAUUUACAGCAGGAUGCAUAGGUCUCUCAAAUUAUCACAUGCACCGUUGAGAAAAAUCUCAAAUUAAAAAGUCAAAAACACUUUUGGCUUGCAUCAAACAAAAGCCUUGACACGUAUAACUACAAUAAAACUCAGGGACAGUUCAUCGCUUAUGUUUCAGAUGUUUCUUAUACAUUUUUUUUGGAGAGGGAAUUAUGAAUGAGAAAUAUCCCCCCAAAGUAUAUUUUGUAAUGCUACGAAGAAAAAAAGGAAUGAUAUGCUAUUUUACUGUGAAUUUACUAUGCAGAAUUUCAAUGGAUCAUUCAAGCAGAAAAAAAAAGGGUACUGCAAAUAAAUUAAAUUUUCAUCCUGAGCUGCAGUACUGUUGUCAGCACAGGUUACUAAACUGUGAAAUAAGAAAAGAACAUGGAGACCCUGUUUGCACUUAGUUGCAAAUAAACUGUAGAAUAUGGUAUCGUUAGACAUUUCAGUUGUGAAAGUUUCUCAUUUCCUGCAAGCUUAGGCAAAUGAGGGAUUUAAGCUAUAUUUUACUUUUAUGGCUACAUUUUCCGGCAGUCAGCUGUUUCAGAUUGACAAUAAAAUGCGUAAUGGUGGUUCUUCGUUUUUCUUUUGGGAAGUUUCUUUGGCAGUUUUUAUCAGCUCAAUAAUUGUUCUUCUGCUGCUCACCAGAGUUGAAGCCUAUACUUUCAGUAAGGCAUAGCAAAAGAGGAUGUUGCCUUUGUGUCUUCCAUGAUACUCAUCUCAGCCUAUAAGACACAAAACUUUGUCACCAUCUUUUACUUUUUACUAUAUUUCCCAAUUCUUAUUUUUUUCAUUAUCUGUAUAUUUGUGCUACUAUAUCAGCUAUUUUUAUAUGACUUUUCAGAAAUUGGAGGUGCUUUAAUUCAUUGCCUGUUCUUUUAUAAUUAUUUCUCCCAUUGGAUAAACAUACCUCAUGGUAGGUAUGACCUCCAAAUAUGUCCCAAAUGUGGGACGUAUUAGAGCCAUACACAAUGAUUUUGUUCUCAUCAAACUUCUAUAAGCACAAAUGGGAAAAGAAGGAAAAUUGUUCAGAAAAGCUAUCACUUUACAACAAGUACCUUUUCAUUCACAUCCUUCCUAUGAUAUGGAGUUUUCCUGCAAAGUCUUUUCUGAUACUUUACCAAAGAAAAAAGAGAAAAUAAAUCACUUGAGACAACAUGUUUUAACUACCUGGACUGAAAAACUGAUCUCACAAGUUUCAAAUGGCAUUCUCCCCCUCACCUUCAAUGGGUCUACCUGAAUGUGUCCCAAGCUAUUAUUUAUCAUCUGUGGAGGAGUGCAAACUCCUUAGGAUAAAGACAGUACACCUACAGUACUGAGAGCUUUGGUAGUGCUUGAUAACAGCAUAUUUUGUGCUAAUUUUUCUCUAGUUUUUAAAUGCUGUUUCUUAAUUGAUAUUUGUAUGGUAAAGGUGUUGCUAGCAGCUAAGUGAGAAUUUGUGAGUCAUGAGAAAAUAACUGGCAGACGUCUGCUAUGGAUUUCCAUUCUGUUCUUCUAGAUAUUAAUAAUAAUUGCCUACGAGGACCGGAAAGGCUGUAAUUCUCAUUAUAAUAAAGAUUUUUGAUGUAGGUGGGCUUAAUCAAAUGAAUAACUUCACUGACAUUAAGGGAAUUACUGAUGUGAACAAGAGUUUGUGCAAUCAAGUCAAUAACUGAACUGACAGUUCUUAAACCAUAAGAAAGAGGGAGGGCUGGAGUUGUGGUUGUCCUUGCGUGUGUCAAGUUCAGAUUAUGGUGCACAGGUUCCGGGAUACUAAGAGUGUUAUCUGCAAGCCCAUUAUCUUGCAAAAGCACAAAAAGCAUUUAUGGCAUAUGGAGCUGGGACUUCUAAAUUCCUUUUUAGUAUGGGUCUUCAUGUUACUGCAUGAUUCAUUACUGCUGCUUAUGGACUGCUCCCUGAAAAACAGCAUGCACUAUUGCUAUAUUGCUAUACUAUUACAUCUUUAUUGCUGAUAAAAUCAGGCAAUGCUAAGAGAAGCUUUUUUUUUUUUUUUGGUCAGACCAUAAAAAUGAAGUGUUAAUUCUGGCUUUAGCAAUGUCUAAUUAGUAACAGCUCCUAUACACAAAGUUCCCUUAUUUUUAUCGGCUUGAGUUACACUGCAUUUUUUAUAAAGUGUUCCAUAAAAUGAUUUUUAUCAUUUCUUUUAAACUUCAUUAUCUUUUUGAUGACACAGUAAUUUUCAUUUCUAUUUUUUUAUCUCCUUUUAGCCAAUUUUCUCACUUUGUGCUUUCUCUACAGCAAUGCAUGCUUUUAUCUAUUUAUUUUGAUAACUUUUAAUGGAAAUAUACUUUUUCUCAAGUACAUCCUAGUACUUUCAUAGGCGAUGUACUUGCGUUUUUGAAACUAGUGGCCCCAUCCAGCACCUAUUAAAGCUAAUGAAACUGGGGUUUAGUUAAAAUUCUAGAAGAUGAACAGAAUAGCACAAAACUGAAAAUGACAAUGCAGAUAGUUUGUAGCCAUGUAUUGAAAACAGCUAGCUGCGAUAAUCUUCACAAUCUGUACUAAGGAGUACUCCUCUCUUUGAGUCAAAGAAAGACCUUAGGUACUGUAAAGACUGGUUUACUGUUAGAGUACGCUUUUAUCCUCUAGCUGAAAAAUAGAGCAGGGAGCUCAAGUAGUUUGUAAGACAAGCAGCUUGAUGAAACUUGUUUAUAAGCUUUUUAUCUUCCUGUGAAACAAUUCAGUAAGCUUUUCCAAAAGUUUUUUGCUGAGUUUAUAUUCAUCACUUUAUGCUUUCCAAAAUUGGAGGGAGGCAUUACUCUAUCCUUUUUUGGAUUCUCAAUGUCUCCUAUGAAAAAGUUGUUAAAAUUACUUACUGUGGGCACAGUAAGAUUGCAUUUACUGGCUUUCCUUAAAAAUAUUACAACACAAAGGCUAUUUCAAUUUUAAAUAGAUAAUAUUUAACUUUUCUCCAUGACAGCUUUUCAACUAAUGAAAAACCUAAUUCCUUUUCAGUUAGCUUAAGAGACUAAAUCAAGUGCAAACUCUCACCAAUAAAAUCAUUACUUGUAUUAAUUCUUAAUCCAUGUCAGUAUAGCACUGCAUUUCCUUAACAUUUUUUUCCAGGCUGCAUCAUUAUUUGCAGAUCACUAAGUGAUAGGACCUGCAGACAAAACAGCUGCAAGAACAAAAAAUCUAUUUUUGAUUGUAGUCAUGAACAGAUGUUUUUUGCAACAUAGUUUACCUGUAUCAGAGGCUUCAGCUGUUAAACACUCAUUUUCUUUUUCUACCCAGUCUUUCUUACUGAGUCUUUUCUUUCAUGCUUCACAGAUGGUAGAGCCCUACCAGUGUUCUGCCAUUCCAGCAAUGCGUGCAAUAUUCUAGCAGAAAAAUACAUAACAGAAUUACUGCUUGUCCAAAUGAAAGUUAUUGAUUUGUUUCUUUUAUACAGUUAAUACAGUUUAAUAUCUUCUGUCUCCUGAGAUUUGGCUUUACCACCUAAGCAGUUAAAGUCAUCUAGCUUGAUGAUUUUCACAUUUCUUUGGCUAUUGGUAGCGCACAGUAUUGGUUUUGUAAAACCAUCUGAAUUUCAGAAAUGAAAGGUCAGUCCACUAAGUAAAAUACUUUAAAAAAAAAUAAUUAUAUCAGAGAAUUAUAAUGGGUUUGUAAGUGUAUUACUACCUGCUGAAAAUGUUCAUAAAAUCUGCACUGUUUUCAUAAAGUGCUAGAAGAAGCUUCUGCUGUUUUUUUAAUAUUGUGUUUCUAUUCAGCAAUACCCACAAAAUAUCCAGUGUGCCCAUUGUUCUGGUACUGGAUAUAAGAGCCUAAAGCCUGCUAACGUUAUGCUGUAGAAGCUUAUGACGUCUUCUGAUCUGUACUUUUUGCCCUUAAUGCUCAGUAAGAAAACGUGGUACCUUCUGUGAACAGAUGUAGAUGCAAGAUAGUAGCAAAUUGACAAACUCCUAUUCCUUACAUACUUGUGCUGCCAAUUAGGGUGUAUUUAGCCGAACAUUAAAGUAAAUUAACAAUUCUAACGUUAACUGGUUUUCUUUUCUUACAGGUAUCUGUAAAUUACUACAGAGAGCAUUGAGUAGAUGACGCUACGUGUCAGGGCGCCGCCCGGG